rnacentral:rRNA from 1 species
AGAACGAACGCUGGCGGCAGGCCUAACACAUGCAAGUCGAACGCCGUAGCAAUACGGAGUGGCAGACGGGUGAGUAACGCGUGGGAACAUACCCUUCGGUUCGGAAUAACUCAGGGAAACUUGAGCUAAUACCGGAUACGUCCGAGGUUUUAAUCGACCUUGGAGAAAGAUUUAUCGCCGAAAGAUCGGCCCGCGUCUGAUUAGCUAGUUGGUGAGGUAAUGGCUCACCAAGGCGACGAUCAGUAGCUGGUCUGAGAGGAUGAUCAGCCACAUUGGGACUGAGACACGGCCCAAACUCCUACGGGAGGCAGCAGUGGGGAAUAUUGGACAAUGGGCGCAAGCCUGAUCCAGCCAUGCCGCGUGAGUGAUGAAGGCCCUAGGGUUGUAAAGCUCUUUUAUGCGGGAAGAUAAUGACGGUACCGACAAGAAUAAGCCCGGCUAACUUCGUGCCAGCAGCCGC